rnacentral:siRNA from 1 species
AUGCAGCCAGCCCUGAAGUCAAUU